AGUAAAAGUCGUAACAAGGUUUCCGUAGGUGAACCUGCGGAAGGAUCAUUAUCGAGUCUUUGAAAGAAGUUGUAGCUGGCCUUUCGGGGCAUGUGCACGCUUCGCUCAAAUCCAACUCAUUUUCAACACCUGUGCACAUAUUGUAGGAUGGUUGAUACAAACGAAGAACUUAGGUUCCUCUCGAGUUGUUGACGCCUUCCUAUGUUUCAUUUACACACUCAUUUGUCGUAUCAUGAAUGUUUUUUUGCGCUUAAAUAACGCAUUAUAUAUAACUUUUAGCAACGGAUCUCUUGGCUCUCGCAUCGAUGAAGAACGCAGCGAAAUGCGAUAAGUAAUGUGAAUUGCAGAAUUCAGUGAAUCAUCGAAUCUUUGAACGCAACUUGCGCCCUUUGGUAUUCCGAAGGGCAUGCCCGUUUGAGUGUCAUGGUAUUCUCAAAGCCCUCUUCAUUUUUUUUGAUGAUGUUGGCGCUUUGGAUUUGGAGGUCUUUUUUGCAGGUUUAGUAAUAAAUCUGCUCCUCUUGAAUGUAUUAGCUGGAAAUCUUUGCUCAGGUCUAGCUUCAGUGUGAUAAUUGUCUACGCUGUAGCUGUCUAAGCACAUGUAUGGAAUUCCGCUUCUAGUUGUCUUUUAAAGACAGAUUGUAAUGAUCUUUUGACAUCUGACCUCAAAUCGGGUAGGACUACCCGCUGAACUUAAGCAUAUCAAUAAGCGGAGGA
rnacentral:rRNA from 1 species